GAUGAACGCUGGCGGCGUGCCUAAUACAUGCAAGUCGUGCGACUCUUCGAGAGGAGCGGCGGACGGCUGAGUAACGCGUGGGAACGUGCCCCAAAGUGAGGGAUAACUGCUCGAAAGGGUAGCUAAUACCGCAUAUGAUCUUCGGAUUAAAGCAUUUAUGCGCUUUGGGAGCGGCCCGCGUCGGAUUAGCUUGUUGGUGAGGUAAAGGCUCACCAAGGCGACGAUCCGUAGCUGGUCUGAGAGGAUGAUCAGCCAGACUGGAACUGAGACACGGUCCAGACUCCUACGGGAGGCAGCAGUAAGGAAUCUUCCACAAUGGGCGAAAGCCUGAUGGAGCAACGCCGCGUGCAGGAUGAAGGCCCUCGGGUCGUAAACUGCUUUUAUAAGUGAGGAAUAUGACGGUAACUUAUGAAUAAGGAUCGGCUAACUACGUGCCAGCAGCCGCGGUAAGAGUCACGUCG
rnacentral:rRNA from 1 species